CCUACGGGUGGCAGCAGUGGGGAAUAUUGCACAAUGGUGGAAACCCUGAUGCAGCGACGCCGCGUGAGUGAAGAAGUAAUUCGUUAUUUAAAGCUGUAUCAGCAGGGAAGAAAAUUACGGUACCUGAGUAAGAAGCCCCGGCUAACUACGUGCCAGCAGCCGCGGUAAUACGUAGGGGGCAAGCGUUAUCCGGAUGUACUGGGUGUAAAGGGAGCGUAGACGGCAGUGCAAGUCUGGAGUGAAAGGCGUGGGCGCAACCCCCGGACUGCUCUGGAAACUGUACGGCUGGAGUGCAGGAGAGGUAAGGGGAAUUCCUAGUGUAGCGGUGAAAUGCGUAGAUAUUAGGAGGAACACCAGUGGCGAAGGCGGCUUACUGGACUGUAACUGACGUUGAGGCUCGAAAGCGUGGGGAGCAAACAGGAUUAGAUACCCUUGUAGUC
rnacentral:rRNA from 1 species